rnacentral:lncRNA from 1 species
AGAGAGCCGGGCGCGGGCUGCAGGGCCUGGCGGCCUGGACGGCGGAGCGUUGAAAGCUCCCCCAGGGAUAGGAAGUGCAGCCGAAAUCAACGACUGAGGUCAUGAAGGAGGGGACGCUUGAGGCCGUGGAGGGGAAGCAGGUUUCUCCAGGAGGGAACCCGGGCCUCCGCUUUGCUCAGCGUUCCCCUCGCAAAUGUGUUGAGCACCUGUUAUGUGCUGGGGGUACAGAGGGUCUGAGCACCUCCCUCAUGCAGGCUCCCAAGUUCACCAUGCUGAGAAAGACCUGCGGGAGACAGCAGGAGGACAGCUGGGGAAUGGGCCCGCACGUGCCCAGAGGCCCUGAUGGUGUCGUCUUGGGAGUGGAGGAACCUGAGGGAAAAUCGCAGGGGUGAGUCGGGGAGAGCUCUGCCCUGGUGCCCUGGCACGUAUCCACAUGGGCCGCAGCUGCACCCGGCUCUCAGCAGAGGGCAUCGCCAUGCUUCUGGGCACAGCCGGGCCGUCUCGCCUCCCUGCGGCUCCUGAUGCCUCCCAGGCUCCGCUGAGGUCACCUUGGGCACUUAGCGUGGCUGCAGCUCUUUGCAGCCCUGUGUCCUGUCAUCCAUGUGGCCGUCAUGUGGUCACUUUUGGGCAUUGCGCUGUGCAAGGUCCAUGGGGACUGGGCACCUUUGGCCAUUCUUUCUUUGGUUGUCUGUGCAAGUAAUAAACUAAAUCUGAAAA